rnacentral:tRNA from 1 species
AGCAGUGUGGCAUAGUGGUAAGGUGUAGGGCUUGUGACCAAAAGGUUGCAGGUUUGAUUCCCCACUGGGG